rnacentral:rRNA from 1 species
UACAUGGGGUGCAAACGUUGCUCGGAAUUAUUGGGCGUAAAGCGCACGUAGGCGGUUUGUUAAGUCGGAUGUGAAAUCCCUCGGCUCAACUGAGGAAGUGCAUCCGAAACUGGCAGGCUUGAGUACUAAAGAGGGUCGCGGAAUUCCCGGUGUAGUGGUGAAAUGCGUAGAUAUCGGGAGGAACACCAGUGGCGCAAGCGGCUGACUGGCCGAGACCUGACGCUGAGGCGCGACGGCGUGGGGAGCAAACCGG